UGCAUCAACUUAUGAAUUGGUGCAAGAAUCAUAUUCUUGUUUGUUGAGAUUGAAAAGUUCGCCCGAAGAGGAUGCAUUGGGAAUGUAACCGGUAUCUGCUUGCCAGAUGGAUUUGGAGAUGAUCUGAUAAUUGAAGUCCAUGAUUCGAA